AGAAGCAAGGGGCUCAAAUGCUCACAGGUCCUCUGGAGAGCUGCCUAAUUAUAUAUCCAGCAAACCAAGGGCAACAGAUAUGGCACUGAAAAAAAAUCCUCAUCUGUUUCUGUGAGAAAGGUCCCCAGUUUCUACAAAAGAAAAUCAUAAAAAUGAGUUAUCCAAACUGCCAGGGAAGAGGGGCUCUGAAAGCUUGAAGAACCCUACACCAGACUUUCAUUUAGGAGCUACUCCAAAACUUAAUGGAGAGAACUUCAGAAAUCCUGGACCUUUGGCAAGAGAGAGU